rnacentral:rRNA from 1 species
CAAGCAUUGUUUUCGAAUUUUUUCAUGCAUCAAAGCUCGUUAAGACUAGAUGGGGGAUCCCUACAUAGCGGGUGGGACCCACGGCGAAUGGUUCAUCAAGUCUUCAAAAAAGAAUAUAUACGAUUGCAUUGCAUAUACUAACGGAUGCGAUCAUACCAGCACUAAUGCACCGGAUCCCGUCAGAACUCCGCAGUUAAGCGUGCUUGGGCGAGAGUAGUACUAGGAUGGGUGACCUCCCGUGAAGUCCUCGUGUUGCAUCCCUCUUUUAUGUUUAACCUUUUUU